rnacentral:misc_RNA from 1 species
GAUGAAGAACGCAGCGAAAUGCGAUAAGUAAUGCGAAUUGCAGAAUUCAGUGAGUCAUCGAAUCUUUGAACGCACAUUGCGCCCUGUGGUAUUCCGCAGGGCAUGCCUGUUCGAGCGUCAUUUCAACCCUCAAGCUCUGCUUGGUGUUGGGCCCUGCCCGCUGCGCCGGCCCUAAAGACAGUGGCGGUGCCGCCUGGCCCUGAGCGUAGUACAUCUCUCGCUCCAGUGCCCGGUGGUAGCCUGCCAGAACCCCAACUCUCGUGGUUGACCUCGGAUCAGGUAGGGAUACCCGCUGAACUUAAGCAUAUCAAUAAGCGGAGGA